AUUGGAGCUAAAGUUUUGUUGUUAUUUAGUGUGUUUUGUAUUAUAUCCAAUACCGUUCCAUACUUCCAUUUCUCCUGGAUGAUUAAGACGAUAUUUUUUCUAACUGAAUUAAUUUGUCCCCUAUUUCAGAAGUAACGCUCAAAAGCCUGAAUAGAAUUCCUUGGGGAAGGGUAGAUGUUAGCUUCAAGAGAAGUAGACAAUGGAUUUUUGCCCAUAGCACCAUUCAGGUAUGUUAUGAACCCCAUUACCUUGGUAAUAGUUUUCCUGGUGUUACUUAAUUAUCCCCUGGUAUAUUCUGUUGUCUCCAUACAUGUUAAUCUGAUAACAUAUACAAAGGCUGUGUAGGUAAUGGCAUAGCAGAUUUUAGUUUCAUGAUCUUACUUAAAUGUAGUUCUGGCGAUAGAUAGUGUCGUGGUUCUAGGUCUGACAGUAGAGUGGGGGGUAGGUAUAGAGAGGCAAGGUCCUAGCCAUGGAGAGGUUGUAAACAUAAGGGAUGUACGAGUUCAGGCCCUUCUCGGAGGAAGUAAAAGCCCUACGUCUCGAAGCCCGGAGGCGGUCGAGUGGAUUGUAUGUAUAUGAGUUACAGGGUGCCGAACCCUUCUGCCUGUGGAGGGGGGUGGCUUAUAUAGAGUGCGCCAGGACCCCAGCCAACCCACGUAAUGAAGGGUUUAAGGGACAUUAAGUCCGAGGCGUUACUGGUAACGUCCCACAUAAAAUGUCUUAACUACCAUAAAGUCUACUUAACUACAUGCCGUUGCAGUGCAGAGUGCCUUUUGACCUCCUGGUAGUCGAGUGAGUCUUCGUGGUCGAGUCCUUCAAGUCAGUCGAGUGAGUCCCUCGUUGGUCGACUGGAAAGUGACCUCUUCUAAGGGUGUCCUUGGGCAGGGUAUUUAGAUCAGGUCUGUGACCCUACCCUAGGUACAUGACUCCAUCAUUAGCCCCCGAAUGGAUUGAGGCUUCGAGUGAGGAAGGAGCUGAUGUUGUUUCCGAUUAACCUUUGCACACUGGUCGUGCGUUGUCCUGAAUCUAGAGAAUCUCUUCGUUGAUAGUGAGCAACUCGCCUUCAGUUGACUCGAUCCAUUCUUUUCUUUCGUCGAGUGAUCUUUCGGGCUUCGUCGAUUUCCGAGCGACGGAUCGCAGGAAAUCCCGCGCCUGACAGACUGAUCUGCCGUUAGCGGAUUCCGCGGGAUGCGAAAUUUGGGGAAACGCGCGAAGCGGAGCGGACUGCGGUGUUUGGAUGGGACGGGACAUAGACGCCUCGAUUCUCGCGCCGCUUUCUUCGCCACGUAUCUCGCCCGUGUAACAGUUCCAGGAUAUGAUUACAUCUGCCGGGUCCACCUGUCAUCCACUCGGAAGGGAUCUUAUAAAUGCGUCCGGCGGGGUUUUUUUGAACAGUGCUUCAGCAUUCUCUCUCUCUCUGCCUCCUUCGUCUCCGCCCAACGCGCUCGCUCUUGCCCCCGCAUCACUUCUCCUCACGCACCCCGCCGGAAGCCAUGGUUAAGGAGAAGACGGCGGCGCUGGAGCGCGCGAAGAAGGCGUCGGCGACGGAGAAGGCGAAGGGGAGAUCCACCAGCCGCGGUGGGUCUUCGUCCAGAUCCCGCCCGCCGAAAGGCUGGGUCCAGGGAGAUUGGAUCCAGUCGACCAUCACGGAGAAGGACCUCCUCGACAUGGCCAACGAGGGCUUGAUCCCCCAUGGAGCUGCGAGGCUUUCGGGGAAAGAAUGGCAGCCCCAGCCGGAAGAGGGUGAGUGCGUGCUUCUGGCUACCCAUGUCGACCGCGGAUUCUCUUUGCCGCCGAGCGUUUUCUUCCGUGGUUUCUUGAACUUUUUUGGAGCGCAACUCCACCACUUCACCCCGAAUUCUAUCGCCUAUCUUGCCGCGUUUGUGUCCAUGUGCGAGAGUAUUCUGGGCUGUCGACCGCACUGGGGCUUGUUCAAGCACAUAUUCACAUGUCGCUCUCAAACUGUGAAGAAGGCGAGUCCAGGCGACGAAAGAACCCGAGUGGUCCAAAUGUGUGGAGGUCUGGGGAUCCAGGUGAGAAACAAGAGCACCUUCCCAGCUAUGACAUUUCCCGAGUCAGUCAGAGGCUGGCAGUCGACCUGGUUGUACUGCCACGACGAGUCGACACCGGGGCAGUCGAGUGGGCUCCCUCCAUUUACCAUGGACCGAGUGAACAAGCCCUCCUCCCUGAAGCUGAUUCCGGAGGAGAAAGCUGACGUGAAGAUGUUGAUGGAGCGCGUAGUUCAGUUGGUUCGAUAGGGAGUGACGGGCAUGGAUCUCCUGGAAGUUUUCCUUAGGCGCCGAAUCCAGCCUCUUCAGUUCCGGAGCCACUGCAUGUGGUUGUACUGUGGGACUAAGGACGUGACUCGGGUUAACCCAGAAACAGUCGACGAUGCCACUCUGGAAAGGUGGAUGGCCGCUGUUACUGGGAACAAGGAUAACCCUCGCGGAGCCAGAAGGAUUCCUCCACUCGACUGCCACAGUGACCCAAACAAGGUAUGUCUGCUCCACUUCCCAUUGUAUUUUUGUCGUAUUUAUUUCUGUUUUCUCUGUCGAUCGGUCGACUAAUCUUUGUCUUGUUGUCCAUCAGGCCCUCACUGAACUGUACUCAAUGCCCAACGGAGCGCAGACUCCGACUGAGGAGGGAGAAGCGAGCGGGGGCGAGAGUCAGGAGGAGUGGGACUCGGACGCCGCCGAGGCCGAUGAUGAUGACGAUGACGAUGAUGAUGAUGAUGAUGAGGACGGCGAAGAGGAGGAGGAGGAGGAGGUCGCACCACCGCGCUCAGAAAGGCGGUCGAAACUUGUUCAUGACCCUGCGACUGAACGCGGCGAGGGGGUCGCGACUGUUACUCAGUCGACCAAGCGUCCCUGGAUCACCUCUCUGGCGCCGACUGAAAAGGCGCCGAAGCAGCCCAGGGCGGCCCCGUCGAAGCCGACCAAGCACCUGCCGAAGAUGAAGGUGUCCAUCCCCAUCAUAUCAGGGUAAUCAUAUUGCUUACGUCUUCUUGUUUUGUGUGAACUUUAUCUCUGGUUGGCGCUGGAGUUAGUCGACUGACUCUUUGGAGUUGCAGUGCUGCUACUUCUGAGACCUCAGCCCGGGCUGACGACCAUGUGAUGGAGGACGCAGCAACCUCAAAACCUGGGAUUAUACUCUUAACAUCGUUUCUAGUCGACUGACUCAUGAUUUCUAAUUUUGAUUUUUUUCUGUAGCUCCAUCCAAUGUUGUUAUCACUCUCCCUGAUGACGAUGAAGACGAGGAACCGCUGAAGCAUAGAAGGAGUAGGAAAACAUCUGCCAACAGGGUGCCCCAGAAUGUGACGGCGCCUGAGACUCUGGUUGCGGAGGAGGAGAACACCACUCGACACACUGUGUCCUUCGCAGAUCCACUGACGAGUGCUCAGCAGCCCUCCCUCUUCACGACGCACCACGUUCCAGAGGACCAAGCUGGCGCCGCGAAGGAGGCGAUACGCCAGGUAGGGAUCAUGAUGGAGCAGUUAAGGACCAUCCGGGAUGCGAGCCAGGCAGCUUACGACGCCAGUUCCGCCCUUCAAAGCAAUGUUCAGGUCAGUCGACCAUCGUCUGUUCUGUUAGGAUAUGCUAUCAAAAACUUUUCUUUCCAACAUAUACGGUAGUCACCCAUUGGAUGUGUCGAUUUAGACUCCGUGUUAGCGGGGGCACACUGAGUGCACCCGCUGGGUGUAGUCCCUAAGGCUAAGGUCGACUGCUGGCAGUCGGCCUUAGGCUUUAUAAUUUCAGUCUUUCCGUCAUUCGACUAUGGCGAAUGGAUUUCGAAAGCCGGUCGACUGGUCGACUCUGUCUUCAAUAGGAUUAGUGGGGGCACGCUGAGUGCACCCACUGGGUGUAGUCCCCGAGACUACGGUCGAAUGCUUGUAUUCAGCUGUAGUCUUAGAAACGUAUGAUUUUUCCUUUUUCACUCGGAAGUGAAUUAUAUUGGACAUUUAGUCGAUUGGUUCUUCGCAGAACUCCUGUGAUCUUGUGGCUCGCUACUCUGAGCUGGAAAACAAGCACAUUUAGCUCGAGCUGAAUUUGAAGCUGGUUCAGGAGAAUCUGACGAAGGCAAAGGAGGAGACCGAAGGUAUGUUUGGUGAGACCUUGACGACUGCUUUUUCCCUUCGUUUGUUUCAAAAUUUGAUCUUGCUGUAACUUGCAGGUAAGGUAAGGGAGGCCCAACAGAAAAAAGACCUUGAAUUAGCUGAGAAUAUCAAGCUUGCUGACGAGAAGUUAGCUUCAGUCACCAAGCUUAAACAAGACAAUACCAAUCUGAAAGCUGCUCUUGGGAUCGCCAACAAGGAAGUCAGUCGACUGAAAAUUGAUAAAGCUGCCCUGACCGACCAAGUCAGUAAGUUGACUGGGAAGAAAAAUGAUCUGGAGCCCUUCCUGAGUGGUCUUGCCAAGAAGCUGUUCCUUAUGCUUGAAGGUAAACCUCUAUGCUCGGUAUUCAUUUUCAAUCGUGGUUUUUCCAUUCGACCAUCGCCUUGACUCGGUGAUCGUCCUUGUAGAAUUUUGUCAAAACUUUGAAGAAGAAACUAGCCGGCUGGAACCAAACCUCGACCCCGUCAAUUCUCCGGUGAACGACGAAGUUGCCAUGAAUGUUUUCUGACUGGAGUCCCGUGUUGCAGCUGUCGUGGACUAUCUUGCAAGGCUGAAGGUCGCCACAUCUCGCAUCGACUCGACGCUCUGGCCCGGGGAGACACUUCAGAAUGACCUCGAGUCGCUGAUGGCUCGCUUGAACACGAUCCCUGGUCGAGUGCAGGAGUGGAAAAAGUCCUCGGCUCGGUGCGGUGCAGAUGUUGCUCUGUGUCUGGCCCGAGUUCACUGCAAAGAUGCGCGAGAAGAAAAGCUGGCGGCCCUCCGGGUGGCCAACACCAAGAAACACGACUUCAGGUCCUUUAUGGAAACUUUCCUUGCAGCUGCCACUCGGAUCGCGGAUGGAAUUGAUCUUGAUGAGUUUGUUGCACCUUCCAGCCCUCCACAGGAGGGGUAAAAAACUUCUUCUAAGCUCGACGCUUUAAAUUUGCCUCGGUAUGCCGAGUGGAGGUGUAACCGAUAAACUUUAACAGGUCUAGUGCCUGAGCACUUUCGGUUCCUUUUGGUAUCGAUCCCAACUUGAACUUGGUGUUUGAAUAAGAUUGCUUUUGGCUCGAAAAUGUCUUUGCAAGCCCAAAGCAAGACGCUUACUGUAGUCGACUUAUUCCUUAGUCCACUUAGGCGAGCACUGGGCUGCAGCUAAGCCCCCGAGUGAGAGGUUUGCUCUUUACUCGGUAGGAUUUUGAUAACUUAGGCGAGCAGAGGGCUGCAGCUAAGCCCCUGAGUGAGAGGUUUGCUCUUCACUCGGUAGGAUUUUUAUAUCUUAGGCGAGCACUGGGCUGCAGCUAAGCCCCCGAGUGAGAGGUUUGCUCUUCACUCGGUGGGAUUUUGAUAACUUAGGCGAGUACUUGGACUGCAGCUAAGCCCCCGAGUGAGAGGUUUGCUCUUCACUUGGUGGGAUUUUGAUAACUUAGGUGAGUACUUGGACUGCAGCUAAGCCUCCGAGUGGAAGUCUGGCUUACCAUUGUAAGAUUUUCAUAACUUAGGCGAGUACUUGGACUGCAGCUAAGCCUCCGAGUGGAAGUUUGGCUUACCACUCGGUAGGAUUUUCAUAACUUAGGCGAGUACUUGGACUGCAGCUAAGCCUCCGAGUGAGAGGUUUGCUCUUCACUCGGUAGGAUUUCGGUAACUUAGGCGAGUACUUGGACUGUAGCUAAGCCUCCGAGUGGAAGUCUGGCUUACCACUCGGUAGGAUUUUUGAUAACUUAGGCGAAAUGGAUUCGCAGCUAAGCCUUCGAGUGGGAGUCUGGCUCACCACUCGGUAGGAUUUUUUAUAACUUAGGCGAAACGGAUUCGCAGCUAAGCCUCCGAGUGGGAGUCUGGCUCACCACUCGGUAGGAUUUUUUACAAACUUAGGCAGAACGGAUUCGCGGCUAAGUCACCCACUGAGGGUGGAUUUUAUUGGACAAAAUAAAAAGUGACAAAAAUUAUGGAGGAACUAUGACACUAUUAUUUUGAGGUCCAUGAACUACAGAAGUACUUUAUUGCAACUCAUCCGAGUGAUAAAACUUAAGUGUAAAAUGGGCGGAGUAGUUCCGCGUUCCAAGCUCGGGGCUCGUCGAUAUUAUGCUCGACGUUGUAAAGACGGUACGCCCCGUUGUGAAGAACUUUGGUGACGAUGAAGGGUCCUUCCCAAGAAGGAGCAAGCUUGUGUUGUUUCUUCUGAUCCACUCGGAGAACUAAAUCUUCUUCUUGAAAGGCUCGACCUCUCACAUUUUUGGCGUGGAAACGACGCAAAUCUUGUUGAUAGAUGGUCGACCGGAUCAGAGCCAUCUCCCUUUCUUCCUCUAAAAGGUCGACUGCGUCCUGCCGCGCUUGUUCAGCUUCUGCUUCGUUGUAGAUUUCAACUCGAGGAGCAUUGUGGAGAAGAUCACUCGGCAAGACUGCUUCAGCUCCGUAGACCAAGAAGAAUGGAGUUCUUCCGGUCGACCGAUUAGGUGUGGUCCGCAGUCCCCAAAGCACUGAGGGAAGUUCGUCGAUCCAAGCUCCAGCUGCAUGCUUGAGAUCACGCAUCAGUCGGGGUUUCAAUCCCUUGAGAAUCAGGCCAUUGGCUCGCUCCGCUUGUCCAUUCGACUGCGGAUGGGCGACUGAAGCGUAGUCGACUCGUGUGCCUUGAGAGUUACAGAAAUCUCUGAAUUCCUCCGAGUCAAAGUUCGACCCAUUAUCCGUAAUGAUGCUGUGAGGGACUCCAUAUCUGAAUAUUAGUUCCCUGAUGAAGCUAACAGCAGUACCGGCGUCAAGGUUCUUGAUUGGUUUAGACUCAAUCCACUUGGUGAACUUGUCGACUGCCACCAGCACAUGCGUGAAGCCACUUCGCCCUGUUCUCAAAGGACCGACCAUGUCCAACCCCCAUACUGCGAAAGGCCAGACGAGUGGAAUGGUCUUCAGGGCUGAUGCAGGCUUGUGCGACAUAUUCGAGUAAAACUGACAUCCCUCGCACUUAUCUACUAUCUCCUUUGCCAUCUCAUUCGCCUUUGGCCAGUAAAAUCCGGCUCGGUAUGCUUUGGCCAUGAUAGUCCGAGAGGACGCGUGAUGACCGCAGGUCCCUGAGUGAAUAUCAUUAAGGAUGAUUCGACCUUCUUCUGGCGUUAUGCACUUCUGACCAACUCCAGUCGCGCUUUCUCUGUAUAACUGUCCUUUGAUUACGGUAAAGGCCUUAGAUCGACGGACGAUCUGUCGAGCCUCUUCCUCAUCCUCUGGGAGCUCUUUUCUCAGGAUAUAUGCGAUAUAUGGAACUGUCCAAUCGGGAAUGACCACCAAGAUCUUCAUAACCAAGUCGACUACUGCUGGGACUUCAACCUCAGUCGGAUCUGUGGCACUCUUGGGCUGUGGAGCUUCUUCGGUGAAAGGAUCUUCUUUGACUGACGGAGUGUGUAUAUGCUCCAAGAACACACCACUCGGAAUGGCUUCUCUCUUGGAACCUAUCUUUGCUAGAUCAUCAGCUGCUUGAUUUUUCAGUCGGGGUAUAUGAUGGAGCUCCAACCCCUCGGACUUUUUUUCCAGCUUCCUCACUGCACUGCAGUAUCCAGUCAUGGCUGGGCUUCUCACAUCCCACUCCUUCAUCACUUGUUUGACCACUAAAUCCGAGUCGCCAUAGACCAUCAAGCGACGGACGUCGAGUGAAAUGGCCAUGCGCAACCCAUAUAAGAGGGCCUCAUAUUCUGCCUCAUUGUUGGAGGAAUCAAAGUGAAUAUGGAGCACAUAUCUGAGCUUAUCUCCUCUGGGGGAAACCAGGACAACCCCAGCACCGGAACCAUUCAACAUCUUAGAGCCAUCAAAGAACAUGGUCCAAUGCUCCGAGUGAACUUCAGUCGGCUGCUGCUGUUCAAUCCACUCGGCGAGGAAAUCUGCUAUUGCCUGAGACUUAAUGGCUUUCUUUGCCUCAAACUUGAUAUCAAGGGGAAGAAGUUCAAUCGCCCAUUUAGCCACUCGACCAGUUGCGUCUCUGUUGUGCAAAAUCUCUGAUAGUGGAGCGUCGCUGACGACUGUGAUGGAGUGAUCAGAGAAAUAAUGAGCAACCUUCUUUGUGGUCAUGUAUAUUCCAUACACAAGCUUCUGAUAAUGAGGAUAUCUCUGCUUGGAUGGAGUCAAGACUUCAGACAAAUAAUACACUGGGCGCUGAACUUUGAGAGCUUUUCCUUCUUCUUCCCGCUCGACCGUAAGCACAGUACUGACGACUUGUCCUGUGGCUGCGAUAUAGAGCAACAGAGGCUCUUUGCUGAUUGGAGCAGCAAGCACCGGCUGGGUGGAGAGCAGAGCUUUUAGCUCGGCAAACGCUGCAUCAGCUUCUGGAGUCCACUCGAACUUGUCUGCCUUUUUCAUCAGUCGGUAAAGAGGCAAUGCCUUUUCACCGAGUCGUGAGAUGAAUCGACUUAAUGCGGCCAAGCAUCCAGUAAGCUUCUGGACAUCGUGCACUCGCACAGGGCGUUUCAUUCGGAGAAUAGUGCCGAUCUUCUUUGGAUUAGCGUCGAUUCCUCGUUCGGAAAUGAGAAAACCGAGUAACUUGCCACCCGGAACUCCAAAUGUGCACUUUGAUGGAUUGAGCUUGAUAUCAUACCUUCGGAGGUUGGCAAAUGUUUCGGCGAGGUCAGCGAGCAGGUCGGAAUCUUUUCGUGACUUGACGACGAUAUCAUCCAUGUACGCUUCCACAUUCCGAGUGAUUUGAGUGAGUAGACACUUCUGAAUCAUUCGCAUAAAUGUGCCUCCGGCAUUCUUGAGGCCGAAUGGCAUGAUGAUAUAGCAGAAGCACCCGAAUGGAGUGAUGAAAGCUGUUUUUACCUCGUCGGGUCCAUACAGACGGAUCUGGUGGUACCCGGAGUAGGCGUCUAGAAAAGACAGUCUCUCGCAUCCCGCGGUCGAGUCAACAAUUUGAUCUAUGCGAGGGAGAGGAAAAUGAUCUUUUGGGCAGGCCCGGUUGAUGUGCUUGAAAUCAAUGCACAUUCGGAGUGAUUUGUCCUUCUUAGGAACCAUGACGACAUUAGCAAGCCACUCGGAGUGGUAUAUCUCUCGGAUAAAUCCUGCCGCCAACAGUCGAGCCACUUCCUCACCAAUGGCUUUUCUCUUCUGGACGGCGGACCGCCGAAGAUGCUCUUUGACUGGUUUUGCAGAUGAGUCGACUCUUAGGCAAUGCUCAGCCAGUCCCCUGGGAACACCUGGCAUGUCAGCGGGCUUCAAUGCAAAAAUGUCCCAGUUCUCACGGAGGAACUGGAUGAGCGCUUCUUCCUAUUUCGGGUCGUGUGUUGUGGAGAUGUGGGUCGGAGCUGCAUCUGGGUCGGUCGGGUGAAUGUGAACAGGCUUUGUCUCACCGGACGAUUGAAAUGCAGACUCUGUGGCGGGUUUCUUGGAUCGCAGCAAGUCACUCGGAUCUGCGUUUUGCUUGUAUUCUUCGAACUCGAUCGCUGUCACCUGGGAAUCAGCAAUCUUUGAGCCUUUCUGGAAGCACUCUUCUGCCUUUUUCCGAUCACCGGUGACAGUGAUCACUCCUUUGGGGCCGGGCAUCUUCAAUUUGAGGUACACGUAACAUUGUCGAGCCAUGAACCGUGCAUAAGCUGGUCUCCCCAAAAUGGCAUGAUAUGCACUCUGAAAAUCCACGACCUCGAACGUCAACUUCUCUUUGCGAAAAUGUUUCGAAUCGCCAAACACCACGUCCAGAGCUAUUUGGCCGAGUGACUCGGCUUUCUUUCCUGGUAUAACUCCAUGAAAGCUCAUGUUACUGGUGCUCAGUCGGGACAUCGGAAUACCUAUUCCUUUCAGUGUGUCUGCAUACAGUAAAUUCAGCCCACUACCACCGUCCAUAAGCACUUUCGUCAGUCGAGUGCCUUCAACAACUGGAUCGACCACCAAAGCUUGCCUCCCAGGGGUGGCAAUAUGAGUCGGGUGAUCAGAUUGGUCGAAGGUGAUGGGUGUUUGGGACCAUUUCAGAUAAUUUGCUUUUGCUGGGGCAACCAUGUUUACCUCACGGUUAAUAACUUUCAAUCGACUCUUGCUCUCCACAUCUGCAAAGAUCAUCAGAGUAGAAUUGAUAUGCGGAUAUCCUUCCUCACUGUCCUCCUUGUCUUCGGCCUUGUCCGACUCCUUCUCCUUGUUAUUAGACUGUUUUCCCGGAAACUGCUGGAUCAGGAGUCGACAUUGGCGAGUGGUGUGCUUCGGCUAGAUGAUAUUCCCCUCUUCGUCUUUCUUCGUGUGGAUGUGACACGGCAUAUCCAUCACGUCGUUCCCUUCUUUAUCCUUUACCUUCUUAGGGUUCCAGGAUCCUUUUGGUUUCCCUUUAAACUUUCCCUGAGUCACGGCCAGAGCCUCUCCAGGAGCUGCCGGUUCAGCCUUCCGCUUCUGUUUCCGACUGGUGUUUCCCUUUUCUGACUGACUCGGCUUGUGUUUGCCGCUUCGGAGUCGGUCUUCUUCUUUGCCGUUGGCGUACUUGGUAGCAAUCUCCAUCAUCCGACUCAAGGUCAUGUCACCGGUUCGACCAAACUUCAAACUCAAUUCUCUGUUCUUGACGCCAUCUUUAAAGGCGCAGACUGCCUGAUGACCAGACACAUUCUCCAUAGUAUGGUGCAAAGUGAUCCAUCUCUGAAUAUACUCUCUGAGAGUCUCAUUGGUCUUCUGCACGCAGACUUGCAACUCCGUCAGUCCAGCCGGUCGCUUGCAAGUUCCUUCAAAUGUUCUGAUGAACACUCGUGACAGAUCUUCCCAAGUGUAAAUGCUGCUAGGAGGUAAUUGAGUCAACCAUGCCCUGGCAGAACCUUCCAGCAUGAGGGGCAAAUGCUUCAUGGCCACCUCGUCGUUCCCACCACCAAUCUGAACCGCCACUCGGUAGUCCUCAAGCCAAGUUUCAGGCUUAGACUCACCAGUGAACUUGCUGACUCCUGUUGCCAACCUGAAAUUGGGAGGGAUAACUGCGGCUCUGAUAGCUCUGCUGAAACAUUCAGGACCAGAAACAUGCACUCGACUGCUUGUGGGCGCAUCUCUGUCGAGUCCACCUCGAUGGGCUCUGUUCCGGUCGACCAAACCUUGCACGAUAAUGGAUCGCGCGUCGAAGCCUGGUUCUCUGGGGUCGACUGGAACUCUUCGCCCCGUACUGAGCUGACGUCUGUCAUCUUGCUGCCGAGGAGCGUAAGACCCACCCCUCAGAGGGGAAUUGGGCACUCGACGCCUAUCAUCUCGGUCGAGUCGGUCACCAUAUUGGUCUCGCCGAUUCUCGCGCCCUUCACGCCGUGGAGGCGAUCUGGGACUGUGAGCCGACUGAACCAUAUUCGCAGCGACGGAUCGACUGUGAAUUCUGUUGUGCGACUGCGACACGGCCGAAUUCUGAUCUCCUGCUGCCCGGAGCAGAUCCCUGAUCUGCAUCAAGCCUCUGCCAGCUUCCGACUGAGAGGGCUGGAUGGACUCUGCUAUACGGGUCGCAGUUGCCAAAUUCUGGAUUGGGGUUCGAUAUACCUGAGUCGGCGGGAAGAGUUGACGGCGGCUGGUGUCGGGAACUCGUUGCCGCGCGCGCUUGUCGAGUGCUCGCUGAAGAUUCUCCAGUCGAGUGCGUUCGGCCAAAUUGGCCAAACGUGCCUCCUCCAAGGCGUGAGCCUCGGGGGUUUCUUCUGCGAUGGGAGUACGCAGGACAUCCACGUUCCUGUGGCGAAGUUCUUCUCUUUGCAGAGAGUCGAGUGGCUCGGGCUGGUACUCUUCGUGGUCUCGUGCGGGGUCGCCUUCGUCGCCUGCUCCACCAUCACGAGCGAAGCCAGGGGGACUGCGGGGCUCGUCGACCAUCAUGAUUUCCGCCGCUGGAUCACUGCUAUCGCACUCGGAUGCGGUCUCUACGAAGCCAGUCGACAGAUCGAACAGGCCGUAGAGAGAUUCGUCGAGCUCGAUUGCCGCAACUUGGGUGGUGGCCGUCUGGCGAGCCACCGCGUGCCUCACCCACCGCUGAAUCCUCGACCGGCCCGAGCGCUUGCGCUGGCGGGAGACCGGGAGGGUGGUUGAUGGGGAUGUCAACCGAUACGGGGUCGACGGUUGCCGCAGCAGAACACCGCGGACACAUGCGCGAAAAUGCGUCGCACCGCGGACGGGGAGCGCAUCAACGUCGAGUGGAGCCUCCUGGAGCCAGGCGGAGUCGUCGGCGAUGAAGGUGAGAGCGCCGAGACGGAUCUCUCGACCCUCAACCAAAACGCCAGCAGCCACCAUGAUGCAAGUACUCGGAAGAAUCGCAACUUCUCCACAAAAUUGCUAAAAACACCUGCCCCACGGUGGGCGCCAACUGUCGUGGUUCUAGGUCUGACAGUAGAGUGGGGGGUAGGUAUAGAGAGGCAAGAUCCUAGCUAUAGAGAGGUUGUAAACACAAGGGAUGUACGAGUUCAGGCCCUUCUCGGAGGAAGUAAAAGCCCUACGUCUCGGAGCCCGGAGGCGGUCGAGUGGAUUGUAUGUAUAUGAGUUACAGGGUGCCGAACCCUUCUGCCUGUGGAGGGGGGUGGCUUAUAUAGAGUGCGCCAGGACCCCAGCCAUCCCACGUAAUGAAGGGUUUAAGGGACAUUAAGUCCGAGGCGUUACUGGUAACGUCCCACAUAAAGUGUCUUAACUAUCAUAAAGUCUACUUAACUACAAGCCGUUGCAGUGCAGAGUGUCUUUUGACCUCCUGGUAGUCGAGUGAGUCUUCGUGGUCGAGUCCUUCAAGUCAGUCGAGUGAGUCCCUCGUUGGUCGACUGGAAGGUGACCUCUUCUAAGGGUGUCUUUGGGCAGGGUAUUUAGAUCAGGUCUGUGACCCUACCCUAGAUACAUGACUCCAUCAGAUAGCUUUACACUAUCCGUCAUGUGCAUGGCUGUCGAAGUACAUCAUCGUUAUGAUGUGUAUGGUUUCUCUAUUUUCAGCCCUACUGCUCCUGAGCCCAAAUCCCAUGACCAUGCCCCCACCUCUCCUUUGUUGAAUGAAGGGAGUCUGGUUGCUAAAAAGUGAGUUUUCUUAAUCAGUAUGUAUGGCCCCUCUGCACAUGCUGUUUCUUCGUAUUUAUGAGGCCUUCAAGCUUUGUCAGUUUUCUGAUAGAUAUGGAAUUUUAAUUUGAUAGUCCCAACAACGAUGGGUACUGAUGGAGCUAUCUAUUAUUUAUUGUCAAUCUGUAAUACUUUUGUCAGCUUCUAGCAUGUCGUUGCUCUGCCAGAGUGCAAUUUUCUCUGCAUGGCAUACACCAGUUACCAUUAGUUGAUAUGUUUGUUGAAGUUUUAUUGCAAGUUAAAUAAAUGUGUAGUGUGGCAUACUGAUUAUUAUAGUUUGAUAAUGUCAGGUGCCGAUGGCUUUAGAUAUGUAAAUAAAAUAUGGUGAUUGUCACCGGUAUGUAGUGUGGCAUACUAAUCAAAUGACUAAGCAUUUAAUUAUUGUUCUGUUAUGUUAUUGAUUUCACCGGCUUUAUGUCGGCCGAUUAGUUAUGAAGGAUUCCACAUCAGCUAAUUUAGAUUAUGUUACUAGAGUAUUAGAAAAAGUUCCUGAUAUAUGUAUUUAGAGCAUUUGCUGAGAUUUGGUGCAAAAUAUUGAUGACCAGGCAUUAUACUGCGCAUAAGCACAAUUUUUUAGUUUUUCUUUUUAUUGUUGCAGUUGCUUUUCUAGCAAUAGCCAAAUAGUGUGACAUAACACUAUUCCAUUUUCACAGGCCACAACACAUCUUUACAGGUAAGUUUGUUCUCUAGAUAGUUCUCUUUCCAAGAUUUUCAUAUCAUAUUUGUUGUGGGAUCUGACUACUUUACCAUAUUUUCCUGGUGUGGACGAUGUUAUAGAGUGAGCUACCAUCACUUCUCAUUAUUGACUGUAAUCAAUAAAAGAUGGAUAUUUGUCGAAGCCAUUGUCGUGUCAUGUAAUUACCUGGAGAUCAGCUAUAUAGUUUUGUUCGGAUUGUAAAGUGGAAACGACAACUCCCGUGUGAUUGUCAUUUGAUUAUUUACUUCCUCAAGUAGUAUGGAUAUGGUGCUGCCAGGAUAUUAAGUAUAUUCAUGAAGUUGUAUAAACCACGUUCUACAAUUCACUUCUGUUAUGCAUAUUUACUUUCCAGUUUUAGGACUGAAAUCCAUCCAUUGUAAUGAACUUGGUUGUAUGGGCAUUACCUAUUUGACUUAGGCUUGCUUCAUCACAUAUAGACUGCUUUUCUUUUCCCCACUGCUUGUAUGACCUAAAACUAUCAUGUGUAUGAGGCAAGUUAUUAGAAAUGUUUCACAUUUUCUUACUUGCAAUACCGUGCUUGCCUAUUUCAGGUGUUCCAAGAC
rnacentral:lncRNA from 1 species